CUGAGGUUAUUUAGGGAGGUUUAGGAUAGAUUUUUGACCGGGUUUUUCUGGUUGGGAAAACAUAUAUUUAGCUUUAUGCAAUCUGGUUAUCCAUAUUAGAUCUUCAUUACUAGAAUUUUCGUUUCUGCUAAAACAGAUUUGCAUUUCAUUUUCUGCAAAAACAGAUAUUCGUUUCUGCCAAAACAGAUUUGCUCCUGCAAAGUGAAAAUAUCAGAAUUCGCAAGAGGAUUUGCACAUCAAUUUUUGCUUUUACAUAAGGUAAAUUGAUAUUUUACUUUUGAUUCUUGGAUUAGGAACUGAAGAAAAGAUGAUCAAGUCAUGGGAAUCCUUCCGUUUAAGGUAAGGAAUGGGUAUUCGCUUUAAGAAACAAAUAAAUCUGCACAAGAAAAUUGGCAUUCGUUUUACAAGGUUGCUUAUAUUGAAGCUACAAGAUCCACGAUCUUCUGGCAUGAUUCAGCCGGGGAUAUGCUUCCUUAUUUUUCACUAAUCUUAUUCCAUUAAAAAUAAUUUUGUGCACUUAAUUUUUUUUUUUUUGAUUCAGUUUCUCUGACUCUUCCUUGUCUGGUUCUAUUUACCAUUUUGUUGGCUUCGACAUUGCAAUAAUCGUUUUUUCCAGCAAAAAAUGGAAUUUGCAUUAGAAAGUUGCUCACUAUGAUGCUACGAUCUCCUACAUCCAUGACCAUCAAAGAAUCAUGCGCAACAGCUUAGAUCGAUGAUGCACCACUAUAAUGUACAGCUUAAGUUAACAUCAUUUGUUUGUCUAUGAAUAUUAGUUUUUCUUCAAGCUCGGGGCGGCUAUGAUGUGGUCGGGCCGCAUACUCAAAGUAUGUGGUCCCUUUUUUUUGACACGAAUAUAAAGUGAAAAAUAAAGUGAAAAAUACUUUUAUUACAAAAGUAUUUAACUAACUUUUUUUAAUUAACUUCAUAUUUUUUCUCAAAAAGAAAAUGUUUUGCAGGAAUUUAGAGGGGCAGGUUUAAGUUUAUAUACAUGUUAGAAAAAGAAAGAGACCACAUCCUAGCCGGGGCGCUUUUUGUAGGAGGAAGAUUGCAGCUGCAUUGCAAAGGAGUGAAACUCUUUCUUCUACAAAACAAGAAGACAUGGUUGAUAUUGUGAAUCUGAAGUCAACAACUGCAACCGAUAAUCAGGCAUAACCACAGGGUGAAAGAUGUUCUUGUUGCACAACUCACAAGUAUUAGCUGCAAUGCCCAUAGUACCCAUCUUCUUUCUCUUUCGUCGUUUUAUCGACUUUUGAUCUGCUUCCCAUACUACAUGGGAAAGUUUUGAUUUUCACAAGUAUUAGUUGGAACACUUGUAAACUCUUUUGGUACAGUUAGCCUAAUUACGGUGACGAUGGACAACGUUGUCCUUAAGUCUGUGCACUAAGUAUUAGCCUAGUGUUGUAUUUGUGCAGAAACAUUAUAUGCCUAGUGUUGCAUAUCCAUUUGGUACCAUUUACUCUUAAUUAAUUUAUUCA